rnacentral:misc_RNA from 1 species
AAAUAAAACUUUCUUUUAUGAGGCAUAAACUUUAUGAAUAGAACUUCCUAUUGGUCUUGAUUCAUUCAACAUUGUUAAAAGUUCCCUUUUCUUUCCGUACUGGACUUAAUUUUUGGCAACUUCUCCUCCAAACCUUGCUUAUCCCUCCUAUUGUUUGGAAGGAACUCUCAUUCAAUCACUUGAAAUUGUGAACGUUCCCCAGAAAGAAAGAGAUGAGAAGUUGUAAUUUUCUUUUAGAAAUCAUGGGAAAUGGAAGAACACAAUCAACAAUUUUUCUUAAAAAAAAAAUAAGACAGGAGAGAAUUAAAAUGCUCUUGAAAGGAUAGUGGUUAAGACUUAAGAGCAUUCAAAAAAUAAUUAUAAAAAAUCAUGUUACAAUUCAACUCAGCUGCAAUAAUAAUCAUACUGGGGUUUGCAGAACAUACCGUUUCCUCCAUUCUACUCAAUUUUAGGCUAGAAUUUCAAGAAAAUCUAAUAAUGCUAAAUCUUUCUUGAACAUUUCAGCCAUUCCAUUUUAUUGUCUUGUCUAUCCUUUUUAUCACGCUUAUAAUUUGGAUGCUUUCAAUUUUGCGCAUCAAUGCAUUAGCCAACCUUAAAGCACAUGGUCAAACUAUCUCAAUCAACCCCUACCUUCCUGUAAAUGACAUUUCCACCUACCAGAAUUGAAGAGAUAGAAAAAGGGAGGAUAAGAGUAAAUUAGCUUGAUCAUUCCCUCAAGCCUUUGGGGGAUCAAAUACUGAUUACAGGAAAAACAAAAUAGGAAAACCUAUUUAUAGACAGCAUUUAGGUUUUUAAAACCAGCCAGUUAUCGAACCGAUAAGGACAGAGGAUUAAAGGUUUAAUAUUUAACUAGAGUUUAACAGGCAUGCUAUUAAAUAAAUAUCAGUCAUAUAUUAUAAAAUUAAAAAUCUUAUAAAAUUACUAAUACUGUAUUGUUAUAAUUGGU